rnacentral:rRNA from 1 species
AACGUAGGAGACGAACGUUAUCCGGAGUUACUGGGCGUAAAGGGCGUGCAGGCGGCCUGAUAAGUCCGGCGUGAAAUCUUUCGGCUUAACCGGGGGAUGUCGUCGGAGACUGUCGGGCUAGAGGGUGAUAGAGGCGUGUGGAAUUCCGGGUGUAGUGGUGAAAUGCGUAGAGAUCCGGAGGAACACCAGUGGCGAAGGCGACACGCUGGGUCAUACCUGACGCUAAUACGCGACAGCAUGGGGAGCAAACGGG